rnacentral:rRNA from 1 species
AGAGCGAACGCUGGCGGCAGGCCUAAUACAUGCAAGUCGAACGAACCCUUCGGGGUUAGUGGCGGACGGGUGAGUAACACGUGGGAACGUGCCCUUUGGUUCGGAACAACUCAGGGAAACUUGAGCUAAUACCGGAUAAGCCCUUCGGGGGAAAGAUUUAUCGCCAUUGGAGCGGCCCGCGUCUGAUUAGCUAGUUGGUGAGGUAAAGGCUCACCAAGGCUACGAUCAGUAGCUGGUCUGAGAGGAUGAUCAGCCACACUGGGACUGAGACACGGCCCAGACUCCUACGGGAGGCAGCAGUAGGGAAUCUUGCGCAAUGGGCGAAAGCCUGACGCAGCCAUGCCGCGUGAAUGAUGAAGGUCUUAGGAUUGUAAAAUUCUUUCAGCGGGGACGAUAAUGACGGUACCCGCAGAAGAAGCCCCGGCUAACUUCGUGCCAGCAGCCGC